GGGGCCCCAUGGUGGCCUUGGUGGCUUCGAAGUAAGCAGAAGAGAGGCCUGAGCUGGCACGCACUUGCUAUCUCCCUGUGAUGCCUCUGCCCUGUCGUGGUAGGGCAGGAAGGCCUCCCUAUGUCCUUGGACCUCCAGCCUUCAGAACUGUAAUAGGAAGCCUGCCACCUCUGGGAGGGAGAUCCAGCUCUGUCCCUACCCAGGACCUGCAGGGGAGGAAGGAGGACAGUUACAUCACAGGUGAGGAAAGAAGAGCUAUAGAUGGAAGGAAAAUUAGCAAAUUGCACUCACCGGACUUGGAAAUGAGGUGGUUUGAGAUCGUUGCCUCUGGGGUUGGCAUAAAGUGGACUUUUUGGUAUGCCCUUCUGCACUGUGCUGUUGGAAAAAAAAAAUCACGUCUCUUAACUUUUUAAUAAAAAUUAAAGUGCUUGAA